rnacentral:rRNA from 1 species
CCCUACGGGGGGCAGCAGUCGGGAAUAUUGCGCAAUGGAGGAAACUCUGACGCAGUGACGCCGCGUAUGGGAAGAAGGUUUUCUGGUUGUAAAGAUCUGUCGACAGGGACGAAUAAGCCAUGCGAAUAGUUUGGUGUAUGACGGUACCUGUUUAGAAAGCUCCGGCUAACUACGUGCCAGCAGCCGCGGUAAUACGUAGGGAGCAAGCGUUGUCCGGAAUUACUGGGCGUAAAGGGCGCGUAGGUGGGUGCUUAAGUCAGGUGUGAAAACUCUGGGCUCAACCUGGAGACUGCACUUGAAACUGG